CAUUGGGUGGUUUAUAAGUAACUAUUUGCAUAGCUGUAUGCACAACUGUUUUCAAGUUAUCUCUGUAUGUUAUCUCUGUAGGUAUUCUCUGUAGGUAUUCACUGUAGGUUAUCACUGUAGGUAUUAUCUGUAGGUAUUCACUGUAGGUUAUCACUGUAGGUAUUCUAUAUAGGUUUAUCACUGUAGGUUUUCUAUGUAGGCUUUCUCUGUAUGUUAUCUCUGUAGGUAUUCUCUGUAGGUAUUCACUGUAGGUUAUCACUGUAGGUUAUCUCUGUAUGUUAUCUCUGUAGGUAUUCUCUGUAGGUAUUCACUAUAGGUUAUCACUGUAGGUUAUCACUGUAGGUAUUAUCUGUAGGUAUUCACUGUAGGUUAUCACUGUAGGUAUUCUAUAUAGGUUUAUCACUGUAGGUUAUCACUGUAGGUUUUCACUGUAGGUUAUCACUGUAGGUUAUCACUGUAGGUAUUCUCUGUAGGUAUUCUCUGUAGGUAUUCUCUGUAGGUAUUCUCUGUAGGUUUUCUCUGUAGGUUUUCUCUGUAGGUUUUCUCUGUAGGUAUUCACUGUAGGUUUUCUCUGUAGGCUUUCUCUGUAGGUAUUCUCUGUAGGUUAUCACUGUUAUCACUAUUCCCGGGACCACCCAUACGUAGAAUGUAUGCACACAUGACUGUAAGUCGCUUUGGAUAAAAGCGUCAGCUAAAUGGCAUAUAUUAUUAUUAUUAUUAUAUUAUUAUAUUACUGUAGGUAUUCUAUAUAGGUUUAUCACUGUAGGUUAUCACUGUAGGUUUUCACUGUAGGUUAUCACUGUAGGUUAUCACUGUAGGUAUUCUCUGUAGGUAUUCUCUGUAGGUAUUCUCUGUAGGUUUUCUCUGUAGGUUUUCUCUGUAGGUUUUCUCUGUAGGUUUUCACUGUAGGUUUUCUCUGUAGGCUUUCUCUGUAGGUAUUCUCUGUAGGUAUUCUCUGUAGGUUUUCACUGUAGGUUUUCUCUGUAGGCUUUCUCUGUAGGCUUUCUCUGUAGGUAUUCUCUGUAGGUAUUCUCUGUAGGUUACUUCUGUAGGUUUUCUCUGUAGGUUUUCUCUGUAGGCUUUCUCUGUAGGUAUUCUCUGUAGGUAUUCUCUGUAGGUUUUCUCUGUAGCUUUUCUCUGUAGGUAUUCUCUGUAGGUAUUCUCUGUAGGUUUUCACUGUAGGUUUUCUCUGUAGGCUUUCUCUGUAGGCUUUCUCUGUAGGUAUUCUCUGUAGGUUUUCUCUGUAGGUAUUCUCUGUAGGUUACUUCUGUAGGUUUUCUCUGUAGGUUUUCUCUGUAGGUUUUCUCUGUAGAUUUUCACUGUAGGUUAUUUCUUUAUGUUCUAUAUGUAGGUUAUCUUUGUAGCCUGCAGUUAUAUUGUGCUGUGAAGCCUAGGGUGGUUCAUUCAGAUUAUUCAAUUGUUUUGUAUUGUAUUGUUUUUCAUUCUAUUGAGGUGUAAUUUUUAUGGUUUCAAUCCAACUUUUUACAUUCCGCAA